CGCGCGAUUAAGGCCCUUUCGGGGGCAUAUAAAGCGGCGAACGGGUGCGUACAAGGUGGAUAAUCUGCCUUUCGGUGGGGGACAACGGCUGGAAACGGCCGCUAAUACCGCAUACGAUUGUUGGGUCUUCGGGCCUGGCAAGGAAAGGGGCUUCACGGCCUCGCCGAGAGAUGAGUCCGCCCCCCAUUAGCUAGUUGGCGGGAUAAUAGCCCACCAAGGCUUCGAUGGGUAGCCGAGCUGAGAGGUCGAUCGGCCACACUGGAACUGAGACACGGUCCAGACACCUACGGGUGGCAGCAGUAGGGAAUCUUGCACAAUGGGCGAAAGCCUGAUGCAGCAAUGCCGCGUGAGUGAUGAAGGCCUUCGGGUCGUAAAACUCUUUUCUGAGGGAAGAACCUCCGGGGAAGGAAAUGUCUCCGGCUUGACGGUACCUCAGGAAUAAGCAACGGCCAACUCCGUGCCAGCAGCCGCGGUAAUACGGAGGUUGCAAGCGUUGUUCGGAAUAACUGGGUGUAAAGGGAGCGCAGGCGGUUUGGUAAGUCUGGAGUGAAAGCCCGGGGCUUAACCCCGGAAGGGCUUUGGAUACUGCCCAACUUGAGUACGGGAGAGGAGAGUGGAAUU
rnacentral:rRNA from 1 species